rnacentral:lncRNA from 1 species
AUGGCAGGUCUGGAUGGCACACAGAAAAUGAUGGAGCACAUUAACUUGCAGCCAGGAAAUUGGUUUUUCUGGGGGGCUCGGGGUUUGAUUUAUGGUGCCCCUGAGUCAGGGUUCCUCAUUGUUGUUGGAACAGGCUCCUGGGAUGGACAAGAGCCAGAGCAGAAUGGUGGUGGGCACUCCCCACCCUGCCCUUGGCUGUGCAGACAAUCCCAGAACAUUCCCUCUCUCCUCCAGGUCCUCCUGCUCAGAGAGCGAGCGCAGUGCGCUCUGCUGACACCCAGGAAUGAACGACACAAGGAGGGACAGGGACUAAAACUAGAGUUGAUGUGCCUCAAGUGUGGGUCCAUUAAGGGAUAGCGCACAGCUGAGCGCAGGUGUUGUUGUAGUGACCGCUCGGAACAAAGCAAGGAUUUGGGAUGCUGCGGUUCCUGACCUCGCGCACCUCGCGGUCCCCCCAGCAUCGCUGGUACCUCGCCAGGUUUUUACAUCAAGAGAAUUUGGGAGUGUCCUGUCGAGGAUGGCCAUCCCAGCCGCAUCAUCUUUUGCUGGUGUAAGGCUUCUGCCACUUGGGAAAACUCUGUUUUUAAAAAAGCUGCUCAGCUCAGUGCUGAGGAGCACCAGCAGGAGAACACCAAGGACCCAGCCAGAGCAGGUCAGGAACACAAAUGAGACAGACCUGAUGCUGGAAGCAAAAAUCAUAAAGAAUUCCAGCCAGGCCACCCCUGGGAAUACACCCAGGGGGUUGCAAAAUGCAGUUUUUAUGGUCUAGCUGUCCAUACUGAAUGCUGCAGCUUCAAAUAAGCAUUUUGCUUUUUAUUUUUGUUGUUGUUGCUGUGAAAGAUGGACAGGACUCUGCCUGCAGCGGUCAGACUCUGAUCUCACCCACUUUAAUUGGCUAGUUAGUUCUAUCUUUUCUUUCCCAAAUUAUUUGCAAGAAAUUGUGAUUUAAUCCACUCCGCACUUAAGAAAUUUAAUAAAUCAUUAGAAAUAACUGCCGAUGAUAGGAAA